rnacentral:rRNA from 1 species
UACAGAGGUCUCAAGCGUUGUUCGGAUUCAUUGGGCGUAAAGGGUGCGUAGGCGGCGCGGUAAGUCGGGUGUGAAAUCUCGGAGCUUAACUCCGAAACUGCAUUCGAUACUGGCGUGCUUGAGGACUGGAGAGGAGACUGGAAUUCAUGGUGUAGCAGUGAAAUGCGUAGAGAUCAUGAGGAAGACCAGUGGCGAAGGCGGGUCUCUGGACAGUUCCUGACACUGAGACACGAAGGCCAGGGGAGCAAACGGG